rnacentral:tRNA from 1 species
ACCUGAGUGGCUCAUGGUUAAGCGUCUGUCUUUGGCUCAGGUCAUGAUCGUGGAGUUGUGGGAUUGAGUCCCACAUCAGGUU